rnacentral:rRNA from 1 species
UACGUAGGGUGCGAGCGUUAAUCGGAAUUACUGGGCGUAAAGCGUGCGCAGGCGGCUUUGCAAGACAGAUGUGAAAUCCCUGGCUCAACCUGGGAACUGCAUUUGUGACUGCAAGGCUAGAGUACGGCAGAGGGGGAUGGAAUUCCGCGUGUAGCAGUGAAAUGCGUAGAUAUGCGGAGGAACACCGAUGGCGAAGGCAAUCCCCUGGGCCUGCACUGACGCUCAUGCACGAAAGCGUGGGGAGCAAACAGG